UUUGGUCACACCGAACUGUAGCAGUGUGACCGCUCAUAACAUUUAUCGUGUGCUACGUUCGGGCACACUGUUCACCCAGUGCUGUCAGUUGUUAGAGAGCCGAGCGACUGUGAAGACGUACGUGUGUGCUCAUACAGUGCUCUCAGAAUUUAUUUUUGGCAGUUUUUUCCCCUACUGGCAGAGCAGCAAGCAAAAAUAAAAGAAACAAUAAAAAAAAAAAAAAAACAAAAUGCAAUUACACAUUGCCGCGCGCACACUGCAGCAGCCACACAAACAACAAUAAAAUGAUUGUUUUGUUGUUAAAUGCAACAUUAAAUGUAUGAAACGUAAUGAAUUAAAAACAAAAACCUAUUUUGAAGCGACACAUUUAUUUGUGUACAUUGUACAUACAUAGGCAUUUACAUAUACGUAUAUAUAAAUAUAUAUAUUUUAAUGUACAUAUAUGGGAGCAAUUUAUAAACAUUUGAAUAUUAACGUCGAAAAUUCACUUUUUUCGCCUUAAUAAUUGACACGAAUAUGAACAAAUAUUUAUAUCUACCAAAGAGAAAAAGCGUUAGCGCUUUUGUUCAAUUGAAAAAGAAAUUGAAAUUCGCGGAAGACGACACGACGACGGUGAAGAAAGAUUUUUACUCGCGUCGCGGUAUACUUCAACUGUUUUUGAACUUUUAUUGCGUUGCUGCUGAGCAAGAGCGCCAACUACAAAAAUCGCUGCGCAGCGGCCAACAAAAACAAGUCGCUGCCACCGAAAGUAAAAUACAAUGGAACAAAAAUGUGUGUACGAGUGUAGUGUUGAGAGAGAGAGAGAGAGAACGAGAGAAGGCAAGCGAGUGGGACUUGAGCAUGCGCGAUAUGUGCUCAAAUGUUGCCCUUGUCUACCUCUGCGAAUGUAUGCGUCUCUGUAUUUGUGUAUGUGUGUGUACGUCUGUGUCGCGUUAUUUUCGCCUUCGCCGUGCUACGCGCUGCUUAGUGUGCGCGUAUUCCGUUUAUCCGCGCCGCCGUAAACUCACACACUGAUUUUGCCACUAGCCGUUGUUGUGUUCUCAGCGAGUCGCCGCUGUAGCUGAUGCUUUGUGGCUGUCGUCCGUUGCUUGCCCCCAGUUUGCUUGCUGUUUUGCCAGAAGCCAAAGUAUUUUAACUAGCACACUACUGUUAAUUAACUACUGAGGCAGUCAUUUCAAUGCAUAUUCUAUUAAUUAUAUCAAUUUAGCGAGCGCAAAAAGUUCUAGCAAAACAACAGUAUAUAGACACACACAUUGCUUAUAUACAUACAAAAUAUUUACGUACAGAGUUAGUCACCGUUUUUUGUAACAACAAAUACAUCAAAACAUAAAGCGAAUGUAUGUAAGAAUCGAUGUCUACAAACAGACAUAAACAAAAAGAAAAGUGUACAAAUACAAAAGCAAGCUGAAGUAACGGAAAGUUCGUAAACGACAUUCUUUGCUCGCUAAUGUGGUCGGCAUUGUCGGCCCAGAAAUCACAGCGGAGCAAGCGAGAAGGCAAAACAACGGCAACAAAGCUGCUCGCUGAGCAGCCGUAGCCGCGAGCUUUUAAGAGCAGCGCUCAAUCCAGAGAGUAGCAAGCACAUUUCAAACGACGCCACCUACUCAAAGAAAAAAGGCUCCUUGGUCAAGAUUUCAAACAAAACUAAUUAAGGACUAUUAAGAGACUGUUAACAAGGAACAACAAAACCCCAAGCUAAAUUCAUAAAAAAAAGGAGAAAGAACGGAAGACUAGCAAUAAUAAUAAUUAUAAUAAUAACAACAGCCACAAAUCAAAACCUAAUUUAAAUCUUAAAAGCAAAGUAUUUGUUUUUUUGUCAUCAUUCAAACAGCGAACACAACAAAAAUCACUUUAGCCUUAUAUACAACAACAAAACACUAGUAUAUUACCAUAAGAAAUUGCAAGCACGAUAAAAGGAAGAAACCUGGCUACGCUCUAAGUAGGCUAAAACAAGCUAAUAACACAAGCAGCGACAGCGACAGCUACAAAGUUACAAAGAUCCGGCAACAGAACAA